rnacentral:rRNA from 1 species
UUUUGAUGUAAAGUUUUGUACCUGAGUAGUAUUAGUAUUAUGAUCUUGAAACUUAAAGAAUUUGGCGGUAUUUUAGUCUUCUUAGAGGAAUCUGUCCCAUAAUCGAUAUUCCACGUUGAAUACUUACUUAAUCUGAUGUUUAUAUACCGCUGUUUUGUAGAGUGUCUUUUUAGGGUAGUAAAAUUUCUUUUUUUUUAUUUGAAUUUAUUUCAGGUCAAGGUUUAAUUUAUGAUUAAGAGGAGAUGGAUUACAAUGCGUAUAGGGCAUAAUGGAAUUUAAGUUGUAAUAUUUAAAUGAAGGUGGAUUUAAUAGUAAUUUGAUUUAGAAUGUUGAGGUGAUUUUAGCUCUAGAAUAUGU